AGCGAACGCUGGCGGCAGGCCUAACACAUGCAAGUCGAACGAACUCUUCGGAGUUAGUGGCGGAUGGGUGAGUAACACGUGGGAACGUGCCUUUAGGUUCGGAAUACCUCAGGGAAACUUGUGCUAAUACCGAAUGUGCCCUUCGGGGGAAAGAUUUAUCGCCUUUAGAGCGGCCCGCGUCUGAUUAGCUAGUUGGUGAGGUAAAGGCUCACCAAGGCGACGAUCAGUAGCUGGUCUGAGAGGAUGAUCAGCCACAUUGGGACUGAGACACGGCCCAAACUCCUACGGGAGGCAGCAGUGGGGAAUCUUGCGCAAUGGGCGAAAGCUUGACGCAGCCAUGCCGGGUGAAUGAUGAAGGUCUUAGGAUUGUAAAAUUCUUUCACCGGGGACGAUAAUGACGGUACCCGGAGAAGAAGCCCCGGCUAACUUCGUG
rnacentral:rRNA from 1 species